UACGGAGGGAGCUAGCGUUGUUCGGAAUUACUGGGCGUAAAGCGCGCGUAGGCGGCUUUGUAAGUUAGAGGUGAAAGCCCGGGGCUCAACCCCGGAACAGCCUUUAAGACUGCAUCGCUAGAAUCCGGGAGAGGUGAGUGGAAUUCCGAGUGUAGAGGUGAAAUUCGUAGAUAUUCGGAAGAACACCAGUGGCGAAGGCGGCUCACUGGACCGGCAUUGACGCUGAGGUGCGAAAGCGUGGGGGGCAAACAGG
rnacentral:rRNA from 1 species